rnacentral:lncRNA from 1 species
GCCUGGGUAGAUCCCCCUGCAGGGGUGUGGAGUAGGACGGUUAUCAGAGCCUCUUCUUCUUCCAAGAUGACCCAGUUGGCUGAAGUUACAGAGUCUGAGAUGUGUCUCCCAGCUCUUCCAGGGGCAAAGCUGACCCAAACUGGUCCCCUUACUGUGUUACUUAAAGCUACUUACCAAGCUGUGCAAUCUGAGUGAUGGAAUAGCUUUCCUAUUGCUGGGAAAAUUGAGGCACGGAAGUUACCUUGGU